rnacentral:rRNA from 1 species
UACGUAGGGGGCGAGCGUUGUCCGGAAUUAUUGGGCGUAAAGAGCGUGUAGGCGGUCCGGUAAGUCCGCUGUGAAAGUCCAGGGCUCAACCCUGGAAUGCCGGUGGAUACUGCCGGGCUAGAGUCCGGAAGAGGCGAGUGGAAUUCCUGGUGUAGCGGUGAAAUGCGCAGAUAUCAGGAGGAACACCGAUGGCGAAGGCAGCCCGCUGGGACGGUACUGACGCUGAGACGCGAAAGCGUGGGGAGCAAACAGG